AAAAAAAAAAAAAAAAAAAACUUAUCUCUUUCUCUGGUCUCUCUCUACCUCUCUCUAUCUGGUCUUACUGCUCCAAAUUCACCAUGAUCGAUUACCCUGGACAGUCUGAAUUGGAUUGCAGAGAUUGAAGAGAUUUCAGACUGUGUUCGUGGAGAGCGAGGUUGCGAAUCACCUGGGAUGAAAAAGCCAUCAGCCAUUACAACUCGUUCGUCGUGCUUGAACCUAAGACCAUGGAGAAGCUCCAGUGGAUAACACAAACAGCACUGAGUAGGAGGCUGAAACCAUGGCAGCGAUUAAACCCAAGAAGAUCAUCAUUGAGAUCCUGGUAUAGAUUUCGGCCAAAUCAAUUGCAAACUGAAGCUGCUCUUCUUGCUUUCCCAUGUACUCACCAACUUGAUUAAGCCAUCCAUCCCCAAAAAGAUGUGAUAAAAUGAAUAAUAUCAAGAAUCUAGUCAAUUUCAAUUUCGGAACUACAAAGAAGCAAGAGGACUGAGGACUCAGUACUGGACCAUGAAUAGAAGCAAUUAUUGACCAAAAACAAAAAAAAACAAAAUAGAAGCAAUCGAAACUCUGAUUCCUACCCAUGGUCCCCACCAUGUCAGAAGAAGCCACACACAACAAAACUGAGA